UACGUAGGGUGCGAGCGUUGUCCGGAAUUAUUGGGCGUAAAGAGCUUGUAGGCGGUCUGUCGCGUCUGCUGUGAAAAUCCGGGGCUCAACCCCGGACUUGCAGUGGGUACGGGCAGACUAGAGUGUGGUAGGGGAGACUGGAAUUCCUGGUGUAGCGGUGGAAUGCGCAGAUAUCAGGAGGAACACCAAUGGCGAAGGCAGAUCUCUGGGCCGUAACUGACGCUGAGGAGUGAAAGCAUGGGGAGCGAACAGG
rnacentral:rRNA from 1 species